rnacentral:lncRNA from 1 species
ACCGACUGGCUCACCACCUCAUCUAACAGUUAUUGACGAUGGGUCAACCAAUGAGUAGACAACUCUUUAAUGAUUCCCUAAUCAUGGUGCACCCAAAAUUUGGUUUCUAAUUCAUGAAGCUCACGGUGCCCGAAAUAUUGCUUCAAUCCUUAGUUAAGUUAGACCCACCAUUUGCAUGCAUUAGAUUCUUGAUUGGGUCCCUCACCAUAUCCGAAAUAUUGAGCACAACCCAUCCUCUAAACCGUAGC